rnacentral:rRNA from 1 species
GUCUUUUUGAAAUAAAUUUAAAGUCUGACCUGCCCACUGAUAAUAUUAAAGGGCCGCGGUAUUUUGACCGUGCAAAGGUAGCAUAAUCAUUAGUUUUUUAAUUGAAAGCUUGUAUGAAUGGUUGGACGAAAUAUUUACUGUCUCAUAAAAAUUUAUAUUAGAAAUUAAUUUUUUUGUUAAAAAGCAAAAAUAAUAUUAGAGGACGAGAAGACCCUAUAGAGCUUUAUAAUUUUAUUAUUUAAUUUUUUAAGAAAAUUUUGAAUUUUAUAAAAAUAAUUAUUUUGUUGGGGUGACAGUAAAAUUUAUAAAACUUUUAUUAUAAUAUUACAUUAAUUAAUGAAUAUUUGAUCCAUUAUUAAUGAUUAAAAAAUUAAGUUACCUUAGGGAUAACAGCGUAAUUUUUUUUAAGAGUUCAUAUCGACAAAAAAGAUUGCGACCUCGAUGUUGGAUUAAGAAUUAUUUUUAGGUGUAGAAGUUUAAAGUUUAGGUCUGUUCGACCUUUGAAUUCUU